GAAGUCGUAACAAGGUUUCCGUAGGUGAACCUGCGG
rnacentral:rRNA from 1 species